AUGAACGCUGGCGGCGUGCCUAAUACAUGCAAGUCGAGCGAACAGAUGAGGAGCUUGCUCCUCUGACGUUAGCGGCGGACGGGUUAGUAACACGUGGAUAACCUACCUAUAAGACUGGGAUAACUUCGGGAAACCGGAGCUAAUACCGGAUAAUAUAUUGAACCGCAUGGUUCCAUAGUGAAAGACGGUUUUGCUGUCACUUAUAGAUGGAUCCGCGCCGCAUUAGCUAGUUGGUAAGGUAACGGCUUACCAAGGCAACGAUGCGUAGCCGACCUGAGAGGGUGAUCGGCCACACUGGAACUGAGACACGGUCCAGACUCCUACGGGAGGCAGCAGUAGGGAAUCUUCCGCAAUGGGCGAAAGCCUGACGGAGCAACGCCGCGUGAGUGAUGAAGGUCUUCGGAUCGUAAAACUCUGUUAUUAGGGAAGAACAAAUGUGUAAGUAACUAUGCACGUCUUGACGGUACCUAAUCAGAAAGCCACGGCUAACUACGUG
rnacentral:rRNA from 1 species